rnacentral:rRNA from 1 species
ACGAACGCUGGCGGCGUGCCUAAUACAUGCAAGUCGAACGCUUCUUUCCUCCCGAGUGCUUGCACUCAAUUGGAAAGAGGCGUGGCGGACGGGUGAGUAACACGUGGGUAACCUACCCAUCAGAGGGGGAUAACACUUGGAAACAGGUGCUAAUACCGCAUAACAGUUUAUGCCGCAUGGCAUAAGAGUGAAAGGCGCUUUCGGGUGUCGCUGAUGGAUGGACCCGCGGUGCAUUAGCUAGUUGGUGAGGUAACGGCUCACCAAGGCAACGAUGCAUAGCCGACCUGAGGGGGGGAACGGACACAGUGGAACUGAGACACGGUCCAGACACGUACGGGAGGCAGCAGUAGGGAAUCUGCCGCAAUGGGCGAAAGCUUGACAGAGAAACGGCGCGUGAGUGAUGAAGGUCUUCGGAUCGUAAAACUCUGGUAGUAGGGAAGAACAAAUGUGUAAGUAACUAUGCACGUCUUGACGGUACCUAAUAAGAAAGCCACGGCUAACUACGU